rnacentral:rRNA from 1 species
CGGAUUGUAGUCUGNAACCCGACUACACGAAGCUGGAAUCGCUAGUAAUCGCGAAUCAGAAUGUCGCGGUGAAUACGUUCCCGGGUCUUGUACACACCGCCCGUCACACCAUGGGAGUUGGAAAUGCCCGAAGCCGGUGACCGAACCUUAGGGACGGAGCCGUCGAAGGUGGAGCCAAUGACUGGGGUGAAGUCGUAACAAGGUAGC